AUGUUCGAUGAGAUUGCGCUGCAGGUUGCUAUACAUUGCAAGGAAUUUGGCAUUGCGGGAGAGGUGUUGGGCAGCUAUGUUUUUCCUAUUGCUUCAGUGGAGCACCCACCCUGUACUUUUGGGCAGCUUAUCCUAUUUGUGUCAAUGCACUGGAACAAUUCAUGUCGGAAGGGAUUCAAAAGAAGUGGUCAUACUGCAAUCAGCUUACUCAUUGGCAAUGCAUGGCGACGGUGUUCCAAUCUCCUUGAAAAUUGCAUAAUGAUCCUCCGAGGUCUAUUAUGGUGCUUGUGGUUUGUGAGAGAGUACAAUGAAGAUUGUUGUUUCACUAAGCAGCCAUUACAUGAUGGUAAACAGGCUUUCGACACUAUGUGCAUGUUCUAUUAG
rnacentral:rRNA from 1 species